AACGAACGCUGGCGGCAUGCCUAACACAUGCAAGUCGAACGAGACCUUCGGGUCUAGUGGCGCACGGGUGCGUAACACGUGGGAAUUUGCCUCGGGGUAUGGAAUAACUCAGGGAAACUUGAGCUAAUACCAUAUAAUGUCUUCGGACCAAAGAUUUAUCGCCCUGAGAUAAGCCCGCGUAGGAUUAGCUAGUUGGUGGGGUAAAGCUCAUCAAGGCGACGAUCCGUUAGCUGGUCUGAGAGGAUGAUCAGCCACACUGGGACUGAGACACGGCCCAGACUCCUACGGGAGGCAGCAGUGGGGAAUAUUGGACAAUGGGCGAAAGCCUGAUCCAGCAAUGCCGCGUGAGUGAUGAA
rnacentral:rRNA from 1 species